UCGGACGUGGUGCACGGUGCACGGCUGCAUCUCAUCGCAAUGUAAUCUAAUACGCUCUGCGGCAUUUCGGGGUUCGACUCCCCGCGUCCGAA